rnacentral:rRNA from 1 species
AGCGAACGCUGGCGGCAGGCCUAACACAUGCAAGUCGAACGAACCCUUCGGGGUUAGUGGCGGACGGGUGAGCAACACGUGGGAACGUACCUUUAGGUUCGGAACAACACAGGGAAACUUGUGCUAAUGCCGAAUGUGCCCUUCGGGGAAAGAUUAUCGCCUUUAGAGCGGCCCGCGUCUGAUUAGCUUGUUGGUGAGGUAAAGGCUCACCAAGGCUACGAUCAGUAGCUGGUCUGAGAGGAUGAUCAGCCACACUGGGACUGAGACACGGCCCAGACUCCUACGGGAGGCAGCAGUGGGGAAUCUUGCGCAAUGGGCGAAAGCCUGACGCAGCCAUGCCGCGUGAAUGAUGAAGGUCUUAGGAUUGUAAAAUUCUUUCACCGGGGAAGAUAAUGACGGUACCCGGAGAAGAAGCCCCGGCUAACUUCGUGCCAGCAGCCGCGGU